GUCUAUAUGAAGGUUUAUAUAGUCUGGCCUGCCCACUGAGUUUUGAAGGGCCGCGGUAUCUCUGACCGUGCGAAGGUAGCAUAAUCAGUAGUCUUUUAAUUGAAGGCUUGUAUGAACGGUUGGACGAAAAAUGUACUGUUUCGAGCAAAAUUCUUGAAUUUAACUUUUAAGUGAAAAGGCUUAAAUGGGUUAAAAAGACGAUAAGACCCUAUAAAUCUUGACAUUUUUUUUUAUACUUUAUUGGUUUGUUGUGUGUUAAAAAUGAGUAUUAUAAGUGUGUUGUGUUGGGGCAACAAUAGUAUAGUGGCAUUAAUUAUUAGUGUGAUAAAACAAAAAUGAUUGUUGAGAUAGAUAGAUCCUUGUUAAAGAUUAAGAGAUUAAGUUACUUUAGGGAUAACAGCGUUAUUUUUUCUGAGAGUUCUUAUCGAAGAAAAAGAUUGCGACCUCGAUGUUGAAUUAAAAAAUCUCUUUAGUGUAGUCGUUAAAGAAGAAAGUCUGUUCGACUUUUAAAUUUUU
rnacentral:rRNA from 1 species